AGUGGCAGCGUUUCUCUUCACUGCAGGGCAGCUUCAUUCUCUCCUCCAGGAUGUCGGGCCUUCUGACCAGCUCUCUUCUGCUCUUCUUCUCCCUGACGCUGUUCCAGACUCCCACACCAGAAGCAAAGCCUCUCUCUGGCGUGCGUGGAGGAGGUGGAGUCCGUCUGCGAAGAGACCUGCGGGAUUCAGUGCCCUACGAGGCCCAGAUGAUGUCUUACCCCGCUGCUGACUUCAGGAGCCGGAGCAAUGAUCUCUACUUCCAGCCAGAGGUCUUAAGAGCUCAGGGUCUUGGACAAGCCCUCCAGCGACUGGUGGAGAACGAUCAGAGGCGGGAACAGGAAGCAGCUUAUCUGGCAUCAAUGCUGCGGCUCCUGAACGAGGCACAGAAUAACGGACAGGGCAAACCUGAGGAAGAGGAGGAGGAGGGUGACUUCCAGGCCCCGUACCCUCCGGACUACGAUGAGACCGAGCAGCCCCAGGCUUCACGGCAGGGCCUUCUGGAUCCUCAGCUUACUCAGGCUCUACUCAACCGCUACAAGCAGGAGAGACUGAUGCAGGCUGGACUUGCUCCGAACACCAACAGGAUUCCUGAGAGAGAGCAGGACAAAGACCAAGAGAUGCUCAGGUACCUUGUUGAGAAGAUUCUCUCCAGCUUGGCAUCGGGUGGCAAUCAGGGAGGACCUUCAAACCAGCGUGCUAAGCGGGACCUGAGCGCUGUGGCCAACAUGGAGCAAUAUGGAGGACCCACCCUAAAACGCUCCCGUCGGUCCCUGGACUCCAUCCCUGGCCCCUCCCCUCAGGUCGAGGCAUCGCUGCUGAGGGUGAAACGGCUCGAUGGCGACGUGGACGAUGACGAGGUCGCAGGGCAGAACAACAGAACACCACACGUCAGCCUGCAGAGAAUGAAGCGCAUAGACACUGACCUGCCGCCCCCCAAAAAACACAGCCGCAAGCGCAGAGCCCUGACCUACGACCCUGCUCUGAUCGCACAGCACAUCCUGCAGUACCUGCCAGCCUAAAGAGUAGAAGAAAGUGAGAGGAAUAACAAGGAAAUGUUUGGGGGAAAGUAGAGGGAAAUCUAGACAGACAGAGGGACUGCAACAUUUCACUAGCUUACAGAUUCGCCAGUGUUCAUUGUCAUCUGCCUAAAUCUAAUCAAGGCCUGCUUGCCGAGGUACUCUGAUAUGAUGUUACUCUGUUUCAAUGUUAUACUAUAAUAAAUCCCACACACAUAACA
ensembl:lncRNA